ensembl:misc_RNA Metazoa_SRP Metazoan signal recognition particle RNA
GCUGGGUGUGGUGGCUCAUGCCUGUAAUCCUAGCAUUUUGGGAGACUGAGGUGGGUGAAUUGCUUGAGCCCAGGAGUCCAGCCUGGUAACAUGGUGAAACUCAGUCUCUACAAAAAAUAUAAAUAUUAACUAGGAAUGUUGGCACAUGCCUGCAGUCCUAGCUACUUGGAAGGCUGAAGUGGGAGGACUGCUUGAGCCCAAAAGGCAGAGAUUUGCAGUGAGCCUGGAUUGCACCACUGCACUCCAGUCUGGGUAACACAAUGAGACCCCAUCUCA